CCUUACCUACUCUUGACAUCCAGAGAAGCCAGCGGAGACGCAGGUGUGCCUUCGGGAGCUCUGAGACAGGUGCUGCAUGGCUGUCGUCAGCUCGUGUUGUGAAAUGUUGGGUUAAGUCCCGCAACGAGCGCAACCCUUAUCCCUGUUUGCCAGCGAGUAAUGUCGGGAACUCCAGGGAGACUGCCGGUGAUAAACCGGAGGAAGGUGGGGACGACGUCAAGUCAUCAUGGCCCUUACGAGUAGGGCUACACACGUGCUACAAUGGCGCAUACAGAGGGCAGCCAACUUGCGAAAGUGAGCGAAUCCCAAAAAGUGCGUCGUAGUCCGGAUUGGAGUCUGCAACUCGACUCCAUGAAGUCGGAAUCGCUAGUAAUCGUAGAUCAGAAUGCUACGGUGAAUACGUUCCC
rnacentral:rRNA from 1 species